rnacentral:rRNA from 1 species
AUGAAGGCGCGGCGGUUCUUGAAUGUGGUGAUGCGGAGAUCCAGCAGUGGCAGCCUGUACACGGUGAGCCGCAUCAAGCCCGGGGAGCAUCUCUUCUACCCAUCCACGGCGGAAGCACGGGCGCCAGCAGCAGCGCAACCCACGGAGGAGAAUACGCCGCCGCCAUCACCAGCGGUUGCUCCGAAGAUGCCACCGCCCAGGCUCAAAUUCGAAGCGUACCGCGUAGACGGCCCAAGGCUCGACUUUUUGCCCUUCUACGGACGAGGCGGCGGCGGCGAUGGUAAGAUCCUCUCCAUGGACUCGGCAGGCAACACCGUCCUCUGCGACGCCGGCAGCUGCUCCGUCCAGCCCGUUGCCGGCCUCAACGAACCCAAGGGUGACAGCCCCGUCUCCUUCUCCAUCGCUCAUGCGGAGACCUCCGGUCAGGCCUUGUACGUCAUGGACAGGUUCCCGGCUCCCCACAAUGCUUUCAACUUCGAAGCCCUCAUCUACGGCAAGAAAUGCUGGGAGUGGCACCGGCUCCCGCCGCCGCCCUACGUCAACGACGCAGCCUAUGAGUGCACGGCCAUCCAGUCCUACAUGCUGCUGGGUGAUGGCUCGACUAUCUGCGUGUCCUCCGCUGGGCUCAUCGGCACCUACUGCUUCGACACCGUUAGCUGCACCUUGGAAAAGGCUGGCCGCUGGACCCUGCCAUUCCAUGGACGGGCUGAGCAUGUCCCUGAGCUUCGCAACCUCUGGUUCGGCAUGGCCGGCAACAACGCCAACAGCUUGUGCGCAUUGGACCUCUCCAACCUUGGCAGGGCUCCCAACUUGCUGCAUAACUGGCAAAUCCUUGACAAUCCCGAUGGAUGGGUGCAGAUAAGCCGUAGCCUGCUGUACCUUGGAGCCGGCAGGUUUUGCAUCUUCGGAAAAUUUGACACCGGGGAGCAAGAUGCCCAGGGCAAUCCCAGCAACAGGGCGGCUGUGCUCACUGGUGUGGAGGUGGUCCACGGAGGAUCAUCUGAACUAGAAAUGAUCAAGCACAAGUCCUUUGUCAGCUAUGCCGGCAUCCAGUGUGUUCUUUAA